rnacentral:rRNA from 1 species
CUACGGGCUGCUGCAGUGGGGAAUAUUGCACAAUGGGCGCAAGCCUGAUGCAGCAACGCCGCGUGAACGAUGAAGGCCUUCGGGUUGUAAAGUUCUUUUCUUAGGGAAGAAUAAAUGACGGUACCUAAGGAAUCAGCCCCGGCUAACUACGUGCCAGCAGCCGCGGUAAUACGUAGGGGGCAAGCGUUAUCCGGAAUCACUGGGCGGAAAGGGAGUGUAGGCGGUCAAGCAAGUCAGGGGUGAAAGGCAUCGGCUCAACCGAUGUAAGCCUUUGAAACUGUUUGACUUGAGUGCAGGAGAGGUAAGUGGAAUUCCUAGUGUAGCGGUGAAAUGCGUAGAUAUUAGGAGGAACACCAGUGGCGAAGGCGACUUACUGGACUGUAACUGACGCUGAGGCUCGAAAGCGUGGGGAGCGAACAGGAUUAGAUACCCCAGUAGUC